ensembl:lncRNA
AGUUGUUUCUGGACAUUUUUUUGGUUAGGUCUUUAAUCUGUUCAGAGCUGUUGAGUUUCCCCUCAAAACUGAACAAAGCCUGAGGGGUUUCACUCUAUGGAGCCGGAAACAAGUGGACCAUUGCUUUUGCCUGAGGCCUAGUUUGUCUAUGAUGAAGUUCAACCCACCACAGAGGGACUCAGGGGAACUCCACUGUGGGCUCCAGGUCUGUGAUUUAUGUUUUGCCUGUGCUUUUCUCUGCACUGUUGAGAGGGAGGUAGACAUCAGAUGUGUCUAGCUCAAAAGAUAAUGCACAGGACAGAACAAAGGUGGGCAAGAAGAUCUUGUAGGUGCAAACCAAACGCUGAUGAUGAAACAACCAGCAAAGUGAAGCAACUACAACAGCAACAGCAAUCCUCUGGAAUCAGGUCCAAAAGGCAGACCUUGGCAGUGGUAUCCCUGGAGAACACACAUCAGCAUCUAACCCUGGUACGGAAGAAUGUGGGCUUCUUCCUACUCAGCACCAAGAUUUUCCUUUUAGUGAAGUUACUCCUGCUUCAGUCUCAUCCAUGAGGCACGCAUCAUGUCAUCUUACGUGGAGCUCAAAUGGUGAACCGUUCCCUUAAGCCAGUCACCUUAGCUCACCUGCUCCUCUGUGA